rnacentral:rRNA from 1 species
UUAGUGGCGAACGGGCGAGUAACACGUGAGUAACCUGUCCUUUUCUUUGGGAUAACGGCUGGAAACGGCUGCUAAUACUGGAUAUUCAGGCUGCAUCGCAUGGUGUGGUUUGGAAAGGUUUUUUCUUGAAUGGGGUGGGCUCGCGGCCUAUCAGCUUGUUGGUGGGGUGAUGGCUUACCAAGGCUUUGACGGGUAGCCGGCCUGAGAGGGUGGUCGGUCGCACUGGGACUGAGAUACGGCCCAGACUCCUACGGGAGGCAGCAGGC